AUAUCAAUAAGCGGAGGAAAAGAAACCAACAGGGAUUGCCUUAGUAACGGCGAGUGAAGCGGCAACAGCUCAAAUUUGAAAUCUGCCUCUAGGCCGAGUUGUAAUUUAUAGAAGAUGCUUCGGGUGUGGCACCGGUCUAAGUUCCUUGGAACAGGGCGUCAUAGAGGGUGAGAAUCCCGUACGUGACCGGCCGUCAAUCCCAUGUGAGAUCCCUUCGAAGAGUCGAGUUGUUUGGGAAUGCAGCUCAAAUCGGGUGGUAAAUUUCAUCUAAAGCUAAAUAUUGGCCAGAGACCGAUAGCGCACAAGUA
rnacentral:rRNA from 1 species